GGAGCUGUAUGAGAUCUCAUCCCAUGGAUCUACUUUCUGCUUGUCUUCUUCUAAAUUAAACAUUUCUCCAACACUCCCUGAUCUGAAAAAGCUCCGUAGGAGGAGUUUCCUCAUGACAUCUUCCCCUUUGAUGUUGAUUUUGAUUGAAGUGCAGACAUCCAGGAAGGUGGCAUGAUUUGAAGAACGAAGGAAAAGACACUCACAAACACCAUUGUCACCUCAAAAAUAAAAACAUUCUUCUGUCCAGUGAUCUCCAAGUUGCCAGGAACAGAUUCCUUCAGCCAUCAAAUGCCUAGGCCUUCCCAAAGGAUGAGCCUAUUCACUGUGAGGAAUUUGAUGGCAAUUUUAAUGGAAAUGAAUUUAUCAGUGGUACUUUACUUCAUUAUUGUAUUGUUCGUGAUACUGAAUUUUUUUAAUUGCAUUUAUGGCUAGUUUAAUUUUAUAAGAUGCCUUGUGGAGGCUUGUUUGCUUUGAAAAG